AGCAGUUCCAGGUUCGGGGACCUCGCAGCAGAAGAUCGCCCCGUCCCCCUCCCCUUCCCCCUCCUCCCCCUUCCUCCUUCUCCUGGCAUAGCUCACCGUGGAACUUGAGGAACCUCAGCGCUGGAGACCAUGGACAAGUUUGAUGUGAUUAAGGUCAUUGGGGAAGGAAAUUCCUACUUUGGAAAAGCCUACUUGGCUAAAGGGAGAGCAGACAGCAAACACUGUGUCAUAAAAGAGAUCAGUUUUGCCCAGACAGAAACAGG